rnacentral:rRNA from 1 species
UACAGAGGUCCCCAAGCGUUGUUCGGAUUUACUGGGCGUAAAGGGUGCGUAGGCGGCCGACCAAGUUUGAUGUGAAAUCUCAGUGCUUAACUCUGAAAAUGCAUCGAAAACUGGUUGGCUAGAGGAAUGGAGGGGAGAUUGGAAUUCUCGGUGUAGCAGUGAAAUGCGUAGAUAUCGAGAGGAACACCAGUGGCGAAGGCGAAUCUCUGGACAUAUCCUGACGCUGAGGCACGAAAGCUAGGGGAGCAAACGGGAUUAGAACCUCGUAGU